CAAGGGGGUCAUCCCGACUUACCAACCCGAUGCAAACUGCGAAUACCGGAGAAUGUUAUCACGGGAGACACACGGCGGGUGCUAACGUCCGUCGUGAAGAGGGAAACAACCCAGACCGCCAGCUAAGGUCCCAAAGUCAUGGUUAAGUGGGAAACGAUGUGGGAAGGCCCAGACAGCCAGGAUGUUGGCUUAGAAGCAGCCAUCAUUUAAAGAAAGCGUAAUAGCUCACUGGUCGAGUCGGCCUGCGCGGAAGAUGUAACGGGGCUAAACCAUGCACCGAAGCUGCGGCAGCGACACUAUGUGUUGUUGGGUAGGGGAGCGUUCUGUAAGCCUGUGAAGGUGGCCUGUGAGGGUUGCUGGAGGUAUCAGAAGUGCGAAUGCUGACAUAAGUAACGAUAAAGCGGGUGAAAAGCCCGCUCGCCGGAAGACCAAGGGUUCCUGUCCAACGUUAAUCGGGGCAGGGUGAGUCGACCCCUAAGGCGAGGCCGAAAGGCGUAGUCGAUGGGAAACAGGUUAAUAUUCCUGUACUUGGUGUUACUGCGAAGGGGGGACGGAGAAGGCUAUGUUGGCCGGGCGACGGUUGUCCCGGUUUAAGCGUGUAGGCUGGUUUUCCAGGCAAAUCCGGAAAAUCAAGGCUGAGGCGUGAUGACGAGGCACUACGGUGCUGAAGCGACAAAUGCCCUGCUUCCAGGAAAAGCCUCUAAGCAUCAGGUAACAUCAAAUCGUACCCCAAACCGACACAGGUGGUCAGGUAGAGAAUACCAAGGCGCUUGAGAGAACUCGGGUGAAGGAACUAGGCAAAAUGGUGCCGUAACUUCGGGAGAAGGCACGCUGAUAUGUAGGUGAAGCGACUUGCUCGUGGAGCUGAAAUCAGUCGAAGAUACCAGCUGGCUGCAACUGUUUAUUAAAAACACAGCACUGUGCAAACACGAAAGUGGACGUAUACGGUGUGACGCCUGCCCGGUGCCGGAAGGUUAAUUGAUGGGGUUAGCGGUAACGCGAAGCUCUUGAUCGAAGCCCCGGUAAACGGCGGCCGUAACUAUAACGGUCCUAAGGUAGCGAAAUUCCUUGUCGGGUAAGUUCCGACCUGCACGAAUGGCGUAAUGAUGGCCAGGCUGUCUCCACCCGAGACUCAGUGAAAUUGAACUCGCUGUGAAGAUGCAGUGUACCCGCGGCAAGACGGAAAGACCCCGUGAACCUUUACUAUAGCUUGACACUGAACAUUGAGCCUUGAUGUGUAGGAUAGGUGGGAGGCUUUGAAGUGUGGACGCCAGUCUGCAUGGAGCCGACCUUGAAAUACCACCCUUUAAUGUUUGAUGUUCUAACGUGGGCCCCUUACCGGGGUUGCGGACAGUGUCUGGUGGGUAGUUUGACUGGGGCGGUCUCCUCCUAAAGAGUAACGGAGGAGCACGAAGGUUGGCUAAUCCUGGUCGGACAUCAGGAGGUUAGUGCAAUGGCAUAAGCCAGCUUGACUGCGAGCGUGACGGCGCGAGCAGGUGCGAAAGCAGGUCAUAGUGAUCCGGUGGUUCUGAAUGGAAGGGCCAUCGCUCAACGGAUAAAAGGUACUCCGGGGAUAACAGGCUGAUACCGCCCAAGAGUUCAUAUCGACGGCGGUGUUUGGCACCUCGAUGUCGGCUCAUCACAUCCUGGGGCUGAAGUAGGUCCCAAGGGUAUGGCUGUUCGCCAUUUAAAGUGGUACGCGAGCUGGGUUUAGAACGUCGUGAGACAGUUCGGUCCCUAUCUGCCGUGGGCGCUGGAGAACUGAGGGGGGCUGCUCCUAGUACGAGAGGACCGGAGUGGACGCAUCACUGGUGUUCGGGUUGUCAUGCCAAUGGCACUGCCCGGUAGCUAAAUGCGGAAGAGAUAAGUGCUGAAAGCAUCUAAGCACGAAACUUGCCCCGAGAUGAGUUCUCCCUGACUCCUUGAGAGUCCUGAAGGAACGUUGAAGACGACGACGUUGAUAGGCCGGGUGUGUAAGCGCAGCGAUGCGUUGAGCUAACCGGUACUAAUGAACCGUGAGGCUUAACCUUACAACGCCGAAG
rnacentral:rRNA from 1 species